ACAGUGUAGCUAAAGUGUGACAGGUCUGUAUUGUUGUUCUAUUGAUUGUUGGUGCUCUGUCUUGACCCUCAAUAGGGAACAUCUACUGGACUGACCAGGGCUUCGAUGUGAUUGAGGUGGCCAGACUGAAUGGCUCCUUCCGCUACGUAGUCAUCUCCCAGGGCCUGGACAAGCCCCGUGCCAUCACUGUCCACCCAGAGAAAGGGUAUUUGUUCUGGACAGAGUGGGGUCAGUACCCACGGAUCGAGAGGUCUCGCCUGGACGGGUCUCAGAGAGCUGUUCUGGUCAACGUCAGCAUCAGCUGGCCUAAUGGCAUCUCCAUAGACUACCAGGAGGGUUUUCUGUACUGGUGUGAUGCUCGUACAGACAAUAUAGAGCGUAUCAACCUGGAGACCGGAGAGAACAGACAGGUGGUGCUGGCAAACAACAACAUGGACAUGUUCUCUGUCUCCGUGUUUGAAAGCUUCAUCUACUGGAGUGACAGGACUCAUGCCAAUGGCUCCAUAAAGCGAGGCAACAAAGACAACGCUACGGACUCUAUGCCCCUGCGCACUGGCAUCGGAGUACAGCUCAAAGACAUCAAAGUGUUCAGCAGGGCCAGGCAGCAAGGUGGGCAGGAGCCUUGUACU